CCUACGGGUGGCAGCAGUGGGGAAUAUUGGACAAUGGGGGGAACCCUGAUCCAGCGACGCCGCGUGAGUGAAGAAGUAUUUCGGUAUGUAAAGCUCUAUCAGCAGGGAAGAAAGAAAUGACGGUACCUGACUAAGAAGCCCCGGCUAACUACGUGCCAGCAGCCGCGGUAAUACGUAGGGGGCAAGCGUUAUCCGGAUUUACUGGGUGUAAAGGGAGCGUAGACGGCGAUGCAAGUCUGAAGUGAAAGGCGGGGGCCCAACCCCCGGACUGCUUUGGAAACUGUAUGGCUGGAGUACAGGAGAGGUAAGCGGAAUUCCUAGUGUAGCGGUGAAAUGCGUAGAUAUUAGGAGGAACACCAGUGGCGAAGGCGGCUUACUGGACUGUAACUGACGUUGAGGCUCGAAAGCGUGGGGAGCAAACAGGAUUAGAUACCCUAGUAGUC
rnacentral:rRNA from 1 species